rnacentral:tRNA from 1 species
AUCUACGUUUAUAUCUGUAUCAAGAAUCGAAAUCGCAUUUCCUGGUUUUACAUCUAGUAUGUUUAGCCAAUAAAUUCUAUU